ensembl:lncRNA
AAUAGGAGGGCCCAGGCAUGGGGUGGGGGGCCCACAGGUGAGAUGGCUGCUUACCGUCUCCUGCCUCCCACCUGGCUGAGUCUGGCAGAAUCCCUUGCUUAUGGCGGGCCCUCUGUCAAUCUGCGAACUGAACAGGAGACAGAACAGAUUGUCCUGUACAAGGACAUGGACGUGGAGAUGGCCUAGGCCUGGAGUCCCGGGUGGGCAGGAGACUUGAGGCCGUCUCCAUCCAGCUGCCAGGCAGGGCCUGGGCAAGGAGCUUCUCUGUGACCUGAGGAGGGGAUGGAGGAAGGGGGCUCGGAGCAGGCCAGAUGCUGGGGGUUCACAAUGAGAGGAUGGAGCAGAGGGGUGAGAAGGAGACCCAGGGAAGAGGGGGCAUCACGCCACUGCAGCCCCAGCUCUGAACCAUGGGGUCGCUCCAUAACGAAGUACUAAAAGUUACAACAGAAGUUCCAACUCAACGCAGAAAGGACAGUUUCCUGACCAGGGGCCUGAAAGAACAGUGGGGCCGUAAAUAAGAUGACUGAGGUCUGAGUUGCUAGUUGUACAGAUGCUGAGUCUGAGAUGCCUGGUGGCUACGUCCAAGCGGCCCUGAGAAUGAAGGUCUGGAACUUGCUAGUGAGAAUGGGCUUGGUGAUGGAGAUCUGAGCAGCAGUGGAUCACCACUCCAAAUCCGGGUCAUAUUAACAUUUUUCUGACUCCAGUCUCACACCUGUAGGCUCAGUUCAUUCUGGAUUCUGAAUGAACUUCGUUUUCCAAAUACCCUCCCUGUUGCUCAAGAACCUGCAGUGCCAUCUACAGCGCAGACUGCAGGUUCCUCAGGCUGCGGGUGAAGAGGUUCACGGCAGGCCCCAGCACCCUGCUGCAGUUCCACCUGGCCCUGCUCCCAACCACAGCAUCCCCUCCAGGCGGACCGGUCCUCUUGGAGACUGCUGACAACAAGCACACUUCUGCCUCUUUCUAAAGCCUACUGAAACCAUCCGCUGCACCGGAAUGUCCUCCCUCCUUCUAUCUAGUCGCAGAUCACACCUUGUGCAAAGCCCACCUCCAGGGCCACCUCUCCCCUCCCUUGAAGAUCUAGCUUUUACUGUCCAUCAUUCACUUCGCAUUUUAAAAUAUACUGCUUGGUAGCAUCUCUUUCAUAUAUCAACCUAUUAUCUGAAAGGUACUUAAAAGAAAAAAAGACGAGGAAAAAAGAAAGGCCAACAUCAGUACCCUAAGACGGGCAGGAGCUAUUCUCCCCACUUCUGGCUCUCAUUUGGAGAAAGAAUAAAGAAACUAAAAAAAAAAAAAAAAAGAUAGUCUGAGAUGGGACUUAACAUUAGGACAGCUAAGAGGUAGACAGGUAUAUGUGAAAAGCAUUGUUGCAUGGAGACUGGACAAAGUCAAGAAAUGGCCAACAUCAAAGUUGGCGUGUGUCUCUAAUUCCCUAAACUUGCAGAGAUAAGCACAUGCUAACAAGAUCUGGAAUUUCGAAUUAACAGACAUAAACUACCAUAUAUAAGAUGGGUAAAUAACAGGGACUGAGUGUACAGCACAGGGAACUAUAUUCAGUAUCCUGUAAUAACCUAUAAUGAACAAGAAUCUGG